UGACCUUGUUGACUGAUGCCAAGGUGGCGGCUGCUAAGAAGGGAGCAGCUGCGAACCAGAGGACUGCAGCCAAGGCAGCACUGGUCCACACCUGCCCGGUCUGUCGAUGCAUACCCAAAGAUUUGCAAGGAACACUUUGAAAGCAAGCAUCCCAAGUUUCCAAUAAUCCCAGUACUGGUUGAUGUGCAGGCCUAAGUGACCACACACACUCAAAUGGACCUACAGCUGGGACAUACGAUGACCACGAUUUGAAUACUGCAACUGUGACGGAAUAACGUCGAGGGACAUGGGCUGAGACCUUGAGUAUGACUGGACAUGGGCCAGAUUUUUGUGACAAUGACCUAAAAGGGGUGCAGAAGCACACCAGCUCCCCAUUUUAAGUUUAUUCCAUGGGAAACCUUUUCUCUAGCUACCCCUUAUUCCACACUAUGCCUUUAAUGCCCCAUGGUCCCUCAAUUUUUGACACUUUGAAAUUCCCCAUCUUAUCUCAUUAAACAUGCCCUACCUUCAACCCUUUUCACUAUGCUGCUUCCUUCACUUGUUCUUCUGAUUUGAUAACAUCUAGACUCAGUAACACGUGUAAAAGUGUUGUGGUGUACUCUAUUUUAUUAUUUUUUUAUAUAUAUACUUUUUUUUAAAUACUUUUUUUCACCUGUUUAAUGCUGUCCUCCUUAUUCUGGGGUUCAAACUGAAUGCAAUGGUAAAUGUGCUCCUCACAGUUGACAGUAGCAACAUGGACCUUGACAAGAAGGGUGUUGAUAUAGCUGCGUUUAGGCAUGGCUUCUUUGUUUCGAGUGUAUUAAGUGUGUUUCUCAUUCUGAUGGAGUUGAUCUAGUAUUUUAUAUUAAACCUACCUUAAGCAUCCAGCUUUUCUAUUCAUAACUCACCCAGCAAAAUCCCAAUAUGCUGUUUUACAUGUUGUGUUACUUGUGCUGGUCUAAUUCCUAAAAUGGAAAAUCUGAAGAAUCUGUGCGCUCUAGGAUAGUAAUAAUAGUUCAUAUGAUGUUCUUCGAUGUCUCAGGUUUGUGACAUCGAGGAAUAAAUCAUUUAAUGUUUACUUAAAUUCAGAUGUUUAUAUGUUAUGUAUAAAAGUCAUGUAUGCAUUGUUCACUAUUUUGAUUUCUUUAAAACAAUGUAAUUAUUGGAAUUUAAUGUAUUAAUUCGACCAUUUAAAAACAUUCUGCAAUUCCUUAAUCUAGCGUUGAAUCUGCAACAGAACAUGUGUUACGCAGAGUGGAACAGGGGAACCCAAGAGCAGACUCAGAUGAGGAAACUGGGAUGAAGUAACCAAGGUAUUUUAUUGCAACACAGGGGGAGAUGGAGUGCAGGCCAGGGGAAGCUCAGGUGGGUUGCAGGAAACCAGGUGCGGAGGCUGAGGCUGGAGUGAGAGAGGUUGGGACAGGGAAAGCAAGUCCGGAGGGGAAUCCAAGGGAGUAGUAGAGUGGGAGAUCCAGGACAGAGUAGCAGGAUUACGAGAUGUGGGACUGGAGACAGGGACCAGAGUCAGAGCGGGCAGAACUGUAGCGGAUAGGAAAACAGCAUCAAGCAAGGAAAACAGGCACAACAUGAUAACAGGAUCUGAACAGUAACAAACAGCUAGAACUGUAGACUGACUGAGCAGAGAUUACGAUCUGGCAGUGUGGAAGUGGCAGGACUGAGUAUUUGUAGAGGUCUUGA